rnacentral:rRNA from 1 species
UGGAGUAACCAUUUGGAGCUAGCCGUCGAAGGUGGGACAAAUGAUUGGGGUGAAGUCGUAACAAGGUAGCCGUAUCGGAAGGUGCGGCUGGAUCACCUCCUUU